rnacentral:rRNA from 1 species
GGGGGGGGGGGGGGGGGGGCGGGGGGGGGGGAGGGCGGGGGGGGGGGGGGUGCGUGGGUGGGGGGCUGGGGGGGGGGGCGGGUGGGUAACGCGUGAGUACCCUGCCCUUGACUUGGGGAUAGCGUCGGUAACCUGGGGCGAGGACCGGAUGUGAGCUCCUUCUGCGUUGGGGGGGUUGUGCCGUUUCGGCGGGUGGGGAUGGAAUCGCGUCUUAUCAGCGUUGUGGUGGGGUAGUUGCUUACCAAGACUUUGACUGGGAGCCGUCCGUAGAGGGUGACCGGCCACAUGGGGACUGAGAUACGGCCCAGACUCCUACGGGAGGCAGCAGUGGGGAAUAUUGCACAAUGGGCCGAAGCCUGAUGCAGCAACGCCGCGUGCGGGAUGACGGCCUUCGGGUUGUAAACCGCUUUCGCCUGUGACGAAGCGUGAGUGACGGUAAUGGGUAAAGAAGCACCGGCUAACUACGUG